ACCGAACGCUGGCGGCAUGCCUUACACAUGCAAGUCGAACGGUAACAGGUCUUCGGAUGCUGACGAGUGGCGAACGGGUGAGUAAUACAUCGGAACGUGCCUAGUAGUGGGGGAUAACUACUCGAAAGAGUGGCUAAUACCGCAUGAGAUCUACGGAUGAAAGCAGGGGAUCGCAAGACCUUGUGCUACUAGAGCGGCCGAUGGCAGAUUAGGUAGUUGGUGGGAUAAAAGCUUACCAAGCCGACGAUCCGUAGCUGGUCUGAGAGGACGAUCAGCCACACUGGGACUGAGACACGGCCCAGACUCCUACGGGAGGCAGCAGUGGGGAAUUUUGGACAAUGGGCGCAAGCCUGAUCCAGCAAUGCCGCGUGCAGGAUGAAGGCCUUCGGGUUGUAAACUGCUUUUGUACGGAACGAAAAGCCCCGGGUUAAUACCCUGGGGUCAUGACGGUACCGUAAGAAUAAGCACCGGCUAACUACGUGCCAGCCGCCGCCGUAA
rnacentral:rRNA from 1 species